AAGAAGAAGUAUAAGAGAAACAUAGAGAUAAUCCCACCAAAGAAAAAUGAUGGAGGUGGAGAUAAGAAAGAGAAAUCCAGUGAUGGAGAAAAGAAAGAGAAAGGUGGUGGUGGUGAUCAGAAGAAAGAAAGUCAUGAAGCCAAAGUUCAAGACUCUAUGAAAGCAGAAUUGACAAAUAGAAUGGAGUAUUAUGGACCAGUAGGGUAUGGGUAUGGACAUGGAUAUGGAUAUGGGAACGGUGGAUAUGUUGUCGACAAUGUCCACCACCCACCUCAGUACGGAAAUGGUGGAUUUGUUGGCGAAAAUGUCCACCCACCUCAGUAUGGGAACGGUGGAUAUGUUGUCGACAAUGUUCACCCACCUCAGUUGUUUAGUGAUGAAAAUCCUAAUGCUUGUUCUAUUAUGUGAUUAUUAGUACACUGAUUUGUAAUUUAGAUGAAUUUAAC
rnacentral:lncRNA from 1 species